UACGUAGGGUGCAGGCGUUAAUCGGAAUUACUGGGCGUAAAGCGUGCGCAGGCGGUUUGCUAAGACAGGUGUGAAAUCCCCGGGCUUAACCUGGGAACUGCGCUUGUAACUGGCAAGCUAGAGUGUGGCAGAGGGGGGUGGAAUUCCACGUGUAGCAGUGAAAUGCGUAGAGAUGUGGAGGAACACCGAUGGCGAAGGCAGCCCCCUGGGCUAACACUGACGCUCAUGCACGAAAUCGUGGGGAGCAAACAGG
rnacentral:rRNA from 1 species